rnacentral:tRNA from 1 species
GCGAACGUGGUCUAAUGGCUAUGAUCGUAGGUUCCCAACCUGCUGACCCGAGUUCGACUCUCGGCGUUCGCA